AAUAUAGCCACUGGAAGGAAGUACUCUGGGAGUUAUGGCUUUCUUUCAUCAGAAAGCAGUUUCAAAGGAUGGAAAAAUAAAACUAUUAGUGAUAUGAAACAAUUUUAUGAGUUUAGACUGAAAAGUUCCUACCUCUUGUCAGUAAGGAAGAGAAUUAGGAAAGGAUAGCAUCUGCGGCCAGUUUAGCAUGAUGUCAUGGGUGCGGUAGGUGUGCUAUUCACCAAAAUAGCAUCCAAAACUAGGAAGUACCUUUCAGCCCAUUUUACUACAUUAUCCUUAUGUUUGUGAAAAGUCAAUUUAAAGUUCUUUUGAACCCACUUAAUCUCCUAAUGCCUCCUAAACUAUUUUCUGAGUGUAAUAUUAAUCUUCAGUCAUUUCUGCAGUGUCGGCCUUGAGAUAGAUUGAGCCACUGGAUUUUUCUGAGUGGUCAUCUGUCAGUGUAGCUUAAACAACAACAAAUACAAUUUCUCAAGAAUAGUCACACAGUAUCAUAUACUCUUAGAUAUCCUCUCAAAUCCUAUCAAAUCUCAAAAGUUUAUAUGUAACUAAACAUGAUGUAACCUAUUCAGUCCUUGGUCUUGUCUGUAAUGUGAAGGUUGUUAAAGGUGGUUCUUUUGUCUUUAUUUCAUAAAUUGUGUUAAUUCUUGACACUGGGGUGAAUUUGCCAAAUGAAUGUAAAUCCAUUCUUUUCC